rnacentral:rRNA from 1 species
UACGGAGGGUGCUAGCGUUGUUCGGAAUUACUGGGCGUAAAGCGCGUGUAGGCGGCCCGCUAAGUCUGAUGUGAAAGCCCGGGGCUCACCCCCGGAAGUGCAUUGGAGACUGGCGGGCUCGAGUCCCGGAGAGGAGGGUGGAAUUCCUGGUGUAGCGGUGAAAUGCGUAGAUAUCAGGAGGAACACCGGUGGCGAAGGCGGCCCUCUGGACGGUGACUGACGCUGAGGCGCGAAAGCGUGGGGAGCAAACGGG